rnacentral:rRNA from 1 species
GACGAACGCUGGCGGCGUGCUUAACACAUGCAAGUCGAGCGAUGAAGUUCCUUCGGGAAUGGAUUAGCGGCGGACGGGUGAGUAACACGUGGGUAACCUGCCUCAUAGAGGGGAAUAGCCUUUCGAAAGGAAGAUUAAUACCGCAUAAGAUUGUAGUAUCGCAUGAUACAGCAAUUAAAGGAGUAAUCCGCUAUGAGAUGGACCCGCGUCGCAUUAGCUAGUUGGUGAGGUAACGGCUCACCAAGGCGACGAUGCGUAGCCGACCUGAGAGGGUGAUCGGCCACAUUGGGACUGAGACACGGCCCAGACUCCUACGGGAGGCAGCAGUGGGGAAUAUUGCACAAUGGGGGAAACCCUGGUGCAGCAACGCCGCGUGAGUGAUAACGGUCUUCGGAUUGUAAAACUCUGUCUUCAGGGACGAUAAUGACGGUACCUGAGGAGGAAGCCACGGCUAACUACGUGCCAGCCGCCGCAGUAA